rnacentral:rRNA from 1 species
AGAACGAACGCUGGCGGCAUGCCUAAUACAUGCAAGUCGAACGAACUCUUCGGAGUUAGUGGCGCACGGGUGCGUAACGCGUGGGAAUCUGCCCCUUGGUUCGGAAUAACAGUUGGAAACGACUGCUAAUACCGGAUGAUGACGAAAGUCCAAAGAUUUAUCGCCAAGGGAUGAGCCCGCGUAGGAUUAGCUAGUUGGUGAGGUAAAGGCUCACCAAGGCAACGAUCCUUAGCUGGUCUGAGAGGAUGAUCAGCCACACUGGGACUGAGACACGGCCCAGACUCCUACGGGAGGCAGCAGUAGGGAAUAUUGGACAAGUGGGCGAAAGCCUGAUCCAGCAAUGCCGCGUGAGUGAUGAAGGCCUUAGGUUGUAAAGCUACGUUUUACCGAGAUGAUAAUGAACGAGUAUCGGGAGAACGUUAACGCCCCGGUACUAACCGUCCGCG